rnacentral:rRNA from 1 species
AUACGGAGGAUCCGAGCGUUAUCCGGAUUUAUUGGGUUUAAAGGGUGCGCAGGCGGCCAUUUAAGUCAGCGGUUAAAUCGUGGGGCUCAACCCCAUUCUGCCGUUGAUACUGGGUGGCUUGAUUGCGGUCGAGGUUGGCGGAAUUCGUUGUGUAGCGGUGAAAUGCAUAGAUAUGACGAAGAACACCGAUUGCGUAGGCAGCUGACCAGACCGCAAAUGACGCUCAUGCACGAAAGUGCGGGGAUCGAACAGGAUUAGAUACCCUGGUAGUCCGCACAGUAAACGAUGAAUACUCGCUGUUUGCGAUAUACAGUAAGCGGCCAAGCGAAAGCAUUAAGUAUUCCACCUGGGGAGUACGCCGGCAACGGUGAAACUCAAAGGAAUUGACGGGG